UUUUUCUCCCUUUUGUUCUACCCAGUUAUGUGGAGGGUUUCUUGCCUUUUUUGGAGGUUUAAGGUCUUCCGGUGUUCAGUAGAUGUUCUGUGUGAAUCGUUCUACAUGUAGAUGUGCUUUUUUUUUUUUUUUUUUUUGAUGUGUUUGUGGGAGAAAGUGAGCAAGACCUCUUACUCCUCUGCUAUCUUGAUCCUUCUAUCAAAUUUUAUUUUCUUAAAAGGAUUGUCAAAGAAAACAACACAGGAUUCCAGGCAGACCUUCAACUGCUCAUCCACUGACAGGUGCCCAGGUAUCCCUCCCGCCACUUCCCUGUCCACGCCCCAUCCAGAUCCUGCAGCGGGGUGACCACAGCCACCUUUGCAGAGGAGGGCGAGCUGCGCAUGUAAGCGCAUGUACGGUGGCAAGGACCGCCGCUCCCUCCUGCUGCGUGGCGUUCUGGCACGCCAGCUCCUAGAGUGCAAGGACUCCUGAGACCUGGAGGACGCCAAGGUUGUAUGCUGCCACCUGGGCAAUAGCCAGGCUGUGGGCACCCUGGUGGGGGCCACCUUUGGGCCAGGCUCUGGACCCAUGUGGCUGGAGGAGGUGGGGUGGCGGGGCAGCGAGUCACCCUUUGGAGCUGCCCCGCGGAGCCAUUUGGUCACGGAGACUGCCGGCACAAGCACAUGGAGGGCACUGCUCAGGUCCUUCUGUGGCCCUUUGACCUGCCCGCCAGGCUGAGACUCUGCCCAUGACUCUCAGUGUGGUCCUUGGCACCCUCCUGGUUGUCAUCUCACUGGUCCUGGGAGCACGGUGGUUCCAGGGCAGAGGAGCCUUCAGGGGUUCCGGAACGUUGGGGAGUCUGCCCUCGGAAGGCGUUUAUGAGGUCUUUGGAGCUGUCCCCAUGGGGGUAAAGGACGAUGGGCUCAGAGUGUCCAGGGUCCUGGAGCUGGAGGAGGAGUAUGAUGACGCAGAGGAGCCCCUGCUCAGCCCUGAGGAGAGGGAAGCGGAGGAGGGGGCCCCCCUGACCAACGCAGGUGUGCACCUCUGCGCCUUGGCAUCCCUGGUGCUUUUCCUGCUGUACUGCUCCUACGCCCAAGGCUUUUCUCUGGCCAGCCCCUACAUCUAAAGAUCCUCAAAGUGCCUCUCUGUGUGUUUGUGACUCUCACUUCCAUCAUAGGCUUGGUGUUCAGAGUUUAGGGAGGUCCUAGAUUUUUAUGUGGGUUUCUUUCUGUGGUUGCGCUUGUCCCUCCAGUGCCAUGUCCAGCGGCUGCAGGGGCCUGAGCAGACAGGUGGGCAGAGAUGUGCACGCAGCAGCACACUGUCGGCUCGCUCCAUCCAGUCCUUGACCAAGCCUCCAGCCUCACCGUGCGGCAAGAAGCCAGGGCCCAGAAUUCCUGAGGAAUUGCUGAGGGUCCCCAAUGUGUGUCUCUGUCCUUAAACAGAGGUGGGGCUCCUCACAGCUCAGGCUGGGAAGGACGAACAGGGCAGCCUCUGCCCCAGGACAUGCUGACCAUGAGCCAACCACAGGGACCUCCGCAAGACCAGAGGGUGGGGCUUUCAUUUUCCUCAAUUCUUCAAGAGAUUUAUUGUAUCA
rnacentral:lncRNA from 1 species